GACGAACGCUGGCGGCGUGCUUAACACAUGCAAGUCGAACGGAAAGGCCCUGCUUUUGUGGGGUGCUCGAGUGGCGAACGGGUGAGUAACACGUGAGUAACCUGCCCUUGACUUUGGGAUAACUUCAGGAAACUGGGGCUAAUAUAGGAUAGGAGCUCCUGCGCCAUGGUGGGGGUUGGAAAGUUUCGGCGGUGGGGGAUGGUCUGGCGGCUUAUGAGCUUGUUGGUGGGGUAGUGGCUUACCAAGGUUUUGACGGGUAGGCGGCCUUAGAGGGUGACCGGCCACAAUGGGACUGAGAGACGGACCAGACUCCUACGGGAGGCAGCGGGGGGGAAUAUUGCACAGUGGGCGGAAGCCUGAGACGGCAGCGCCGCGUGCGGGAUGACGGCCUUCGGGUUGUAAACCGCUUUCGCCUGAGACGAAGCGUGAGUGACGGUAAUGGGUAAAGAAGCACCGGCUAACUACGUG
rnacentral:rRNA from 1 species